rnacentral:lncRNA from 1 species
UUUAGAAAUAUAACAAUCGACGGAUCAUUAUUCACAUGUUGAUCCACGACACAAACUAGUUUCAUUCACCAAACCAUGUGACAUGACAGGUACUAAUAGCCAAAUCUGGUGCAACACUAGUAUUAACCUGAACCAGUAGCAAAAACCUGUUUCAAAACCAGCAUCAAAUGUCAAUAUAAACCAUGGGUGGGUUAUGUUACUUUUAGCAUUAUCCAUGGACUCCCUGUAGUUUAUGAUUCAUGAUAGCAUCCAUAUUCUACAAUGCAAUUUUGGUGAUGGAAUGGAAAAAAUAACAGUAAAUCAGUACCAAGUUGGAAAAUAAGUACCAAAUAUUAAUCACCACCAAUUUGAAAAAAUCAAUACCAAGUAUAAACAGAAGAAGCUGUAAAUAAAAAUUACUGGCUAAAUUGAACAUCAUUUUCAGGGUUUAUGAGCAGUAACAUAUAGCAAUAGUACCAAAUUGAUAUAGCCAGUACAAUAACAUUACUAAUGCAGUACAAAGUCUCUGAAAUUGGGUCCCCAAUAAUAUUAUUG